ensembl:lncRNA
CGAAUGAUGACGACAUCAUCACGAUGCGCGCGACGCAGCAAAUAGGAGCCGGUAAUGAGAGCGUGUCCAAUUAGAGAACCAACACCGCGGGCGUCCUCCUUUGCACUGGAGCCAUUGAUGUCACAUGACCUGCAUCACAUGACAUCGGAUCUGAGUGUCUGCUCCUGCGUUUGAGGGAUCAGACAUUACAAGGUCCGGGCUUUAUUAACGACAACGCACCAUGAACCCUCGCACCGGGAAAAAGGUGUAAGGAGCCUCUGAAAGAAGAGUGUGCGCCGCUUUAGCGCUGUUGACUGAUCCACACACGGUGGAUGGGUUGAGGUUAGCUACCACUCGAGGAGCGGUUAAGGCGUCGCUCGGUCCUCACCCUUGGGAGGAGAAGCUAGCUUAGUUCAUGUUUCAUCGCAGGCUUGUUCAUGCCAUGCCAGGGUAUGGCUGUCCCCUAUACGGCAAACUUCCAACCCGACCUCUGACCUCCAAUACCCGGCCAGCCUCCAACCCAACCUCUGACCUGGAGCUGAGGUGUUGGGUCAAGUGUCUUUGCUACUGUAAUGUGCACUCGAUGCUACUGCCGAUGUAACUCUCAGCUACAGCUGAUGUAGCUCUGUGCUACAGCUGAUGUAGCUCUGUGCUACAGCCGAUGUAGCUCGGUGCUACAGCUGAUGUAGCUCAAUGCUACAGCUGGUGUAGCUCAAUGCUACAGCUGGUGUAGCUCUGUGCUACAGCUGAUGUAGCUCUCUGCUACCGC